rnacentral:rRNA from 1 species
UACAGAGGUCUCAAGCGUUGUUCGGAUUCAUUGGGCGUAAAGGGUGUGUAGGUGGCGCCGUAAGUCGGGUGUGAAAUUUCGGAGCUUAACUCCGAAACUGCAUUCGAUACUGCGGUGCUUGAGGACUGGAGAGGAGACUGGAAUUCAUGGUGUAGCAGUGAAAUGCGUAGAGAUCAUGAGGAAGACCAGUGGCGAAGGCGGCUCACUGGCCCGAUACUGACGCUGAGGCACGAAAGCGUGGGGAGCAAACAGG